rnacentral:rRNA from 1 species
GACGAACGCUGGCGGCGUGCUUAACACAUGCAAGUCGAACGGUGAAGGGACCGGUUUUUGCUGGUUCUGGAUGAGUGGCGCACGGGUGAGUAACACGUGAGUAACCUGCCCCCUUCUUCUGGAUAACCGCAUGAAAGUGUGGCCAAUACGGGAUAUUCUGCGCCUGCUGCAUGGUGGGUGUGGGAAAGAUAUUGUUUCGGUGGGGGAUGGGCUCGCGGCCUAUCAGCUUGUUGGUGGGGUGAUGGCCUACCAAGGCGGUGACGGGUAGCCGGCCUGAGAGGGUGGACGGUCACACUGGGACUGAGACACGGCCCAGACUCCUACGGGAGGCAGCAGUGGGGAAUAUUGCACAAUGGGCGCAAGCCUGAUGCAGCGACGCCGCGUGAGGGAUGGAGGCCUUCGGGUUGUAAACCUCUUUCGCCAGUGAAGCAGGCCUGUCCCUUUUGUGGGUGGGUUGACGGUAGCUGGAGAAGAAGCGCCGGCUAACUACGUG